GAUUCUCAUCAUACAGCUAAAACUUCCUCAUUUGAGUUUCUUUUCUCUGUUGAACCCCUCCCUUGUUCUCUCUCUCUUUCUGAGACACACACCCUUCCGCGAGCAGCAGUGGGCGGUCAUCUCUCUCUCUCUCUCUCUCUCUGUGUGUGUGUGUGUCUGGGCUCAGUGAGGCUCAGGGUCAGAGGAUGUCAGGUCGCUCUCAGCAGCUCAGGUGAUGCUCGUGUGUUUUCUGUGCUGGCGGUGAGGAUGGACUCUCACACACUGCAGUGAAGGCUGGAGGACAGACCUUCUGACAGAGAGGUUUCCCGUCUGAAGCUGUGAGGUCAGUCGUACAGGAGCAGCAGCAUGGUGGACGCAGCUGACAGCGUGAAUAAAGACAUGAAGGUGUUCGUGGUGGACAGCCAGGCGUUCCCGCCUCAGGAGUCUGUCCGGAGGGACGGCCCGCGGCUCUUCAUCAUCUACCUGCUGCUGGCUGUGGCUCUGCUGGGGGUCUUCAUCGAGGCUGGAUUUAUCUGGCAUCUGUACAGCAGGCCCGCGACAACAUCAGAUAUCCAGAAAGUGGAAUAUAUAAAAGGAGAGAAGUCCUCGUUUCCCAGAAGUUCACAUGAUUUUAAUGAAGUUUGGCCUGCAAAGCCUCCCAAAGCUGAGAUUAAACCGGCAGCAUUUCUGCAAAGUAUGAAACACCCUCUACACACAGUCGAAUGUUACUUUUAG
rnacentral:lncRNA from 12 species